UGGAGAUUAUCACUGGAGGAAAGGUGGUGAGGUUCACUUGAAUGAUCCUCUUGCUAUAGCAAAGCUGCAAGAAGCUGCCAGGAGUAACAGCGUUGCUGCCUACAAGGAAUAUGCCAAACGUAUCCAUGAAUUGAAUAAAACCUGUAACCUGCGUGGUAUGUUGAAGUUUAAGGAGUCAGAAGCCAAAAUUCCAUUGGAUGAGGUGGAACCUGCCAGUGAAAUUGUGAAAAGGUUUUGUACUGGGGCCAUGAGUUAUGGAUCAAUAUCAUUGGAGGCACA
rnacentral:lncRNA from 1 species